UCUUUUUUAAUUCGCUUCGUCCAUUCAAUUGAUUUUCGUCAGCCAUAAAUCGCUUCUGCAAAUUUCCAUCUUAUGUUUUAUUAAUUUUUUUUGUUUUGGGUUUUUGGCUGCAUCUGUUUACCCUCUCCUUUUUGUAGUAAAAUCAAUGUUAAAGGAGAUAUAACGGAUGCGAACAAUGAAAGGUUGAAAGACUAUCGUUGUACUGAGAAACAGGUUGUAGACUACUACUGGACCAAGAAGACAUCACAAGCUUCGGUAUUGAUUCUCCCAUUACUGCUAAGACAUUUGUAAUCAUGCUGGAGUGGACUGGAUUUAAGCUGGCUAUAGGUCUAACUAGAGGAAAGCACUGACGUCCGAACACUUGAAGAAAUGAAUAAUCUGCUUGUUUUUUUGCAUUUUUUUCGAAUGGUAUUAGCCCUUCACAAGCUGUUUGUCGGUAACCUGUUAAUGAGAAACACCGUAGUACAAAAAGCAUCAGUCCAAAACUUAAAAGGUGAAGAAGCUUGUGCCAUA